rfam:Erwinia billingiae strain Eb661 complete chromosome.
CGUAUGAUGCGCUUGCCAGCCCCCGUGUGGCCUGCUUUUCGCGGCGGCGGCGUGCGGUUUUUCCGCACCUGAAUCACUUCCCGGUUAAG